rnacentral:rRNA from 1 species
UACGUAGGGGGCAAGCGUUGUCCGGAUUUAUUGGGCGUAAAGAGCGUGUAGGCGGCCAUACAGGUCCGUUGUGAAAACUGGAGGCUUAACCUCCAGACGUCGAUGGAAACCGUAUGGCUAGAGUCCGGAAGGGGAGAGUGGAAUUCCUGGUGUAGCGGUGAAAUGCGCAGAUAUCAGGAAGAACACCCGUGGCGAAGGCGGCUCUCUGGGACGGUACUGACGCUGAGACGCGAAAGCGUGGGGAGCGAACAGG